GUCAGGAAAUCUUUUUCAAUUGCCUUCGGAGUCAAACCUCGGUAGUAGGAUCAAAAGAAAUUCAACAGUUUAUCUGUACCGAUGCCACAGAUCAGCAGUUACAAGAAUUUGUUAAUUGUGUACACCAAGAUUUUUUCAAAUCAACCCAACUCAGAAAUUUUAAGUUCUGCAUCUUCGAGGCAGAUUUUGUCAAUUUUUAAUACCGGUACAGUGCUUGGUAUUUUAGGUUAAGUUUUGGAUUUUUAACUGCUUUUUCUGCGAAAGGUUAAAUAUGUUAACGAAAAUGUAUUAAAUUUUUUGUUAAAU